rnacentral:rRNA from 1 species
GACGAACGCUGGCGGCGUGCUUAACACAUGCCAGUCGAGCGGAAAGGCCCUGCUUUUGUGGGGUGCUCGAGUGGCGAACGGGUGAGUAACACGUGAGUAACCUGCCCUUGACUUUGGGAUAACUUCAGGAAGCUGGGGCUAAUACCGGAUAGGAGCUCCUGCUGCAUGGUGGGGGUUGGAAAGUUUCGGCGGUUGGGGAUGGACUCGCGGCUUAUCAGCUUGUUGGUGGGGUAGUGGCUUACCAAGGCUUUGACGGGUAGCCGGCCUGAGAGGGUGACCGGCCACAUUGGGACUGAGAUACGGCCCAGACUCCUACGGGAGGCAGCAGUGGGGAAUAUUGCACAAUGGGCGGAAGCCUGAUGCAGCAACGCCGCGUGCGGGAUGACGGCCUUCGGGUUGUAAACCGCUUUCGCCUGUGACGAAGCGUGAGUGACGGUAAUGGGUAAAGAAGCACCGGCUAACUACGUG